GAAUUUUGCGCAAUGGGCGAAAGCCUGACGCAGCAACGCCGCGUGGAGGAUGAAGGUCUUUGGAUUGUAAACUCCUGUCAGCAGGGAAAAAGGGACUGAGGCUCAUACCCUCGGGACUUGAUUGUACCUGCAGAGGAAGCCCCGGCUAACUCUGUGCCAGCAGCCGCGGUAAUACAGAGGGGGCGAGCGUUAUUCGGAAUUAUUGGGCGUAAAGGGCGCGUAGGCGGCUUUGCAAGUGACGGGUGAAAGCCCUCGACUUAACCGAGGAACUGCCUGUCAGACUGUGAGGCUUGAGACCGGGAGAGGUGAGUGGAAUUCCCAGUGUAGCGGUGAAAUGCGUAGAUAUUGGGAGGAACACCAGUGGCGAAGGCGGCUCACUGGACCGGAACUGACGCUGAGGCGCGAAAGCGUGGGGAGCAAAC
rnacentral:rRNA from 1 species